UAUAUUACACAAUGUAUGCCAAAUAUCAUAGCCCAACUUUUUUUAUGGUUUUCUGUUGAAUUAUUAAAUUUUUGAUGGUUAUAGGCUCAAAUUUUCCUUUCUUAUUCUUCCUUCGGCAAAAAAAACAAACCUGAUUGUUUCUCUCUCUCGCGAAGGCGAUCGACGCGACGCCGUUCUUUUGCCGGACCUUGUGAUUUUCGAUCGUCUCGAUGCCGGAUUCAAGUAUCUGAGACUUACAUGCCGCCGGCUUCAUCAACUACAGAGACGCUGCUGACCAUCGGCAAACGGAGGGAAAUUGAAUCGAAGAUUUGCGACUCCCAAAUUCGUUGAAGGAAGCUCCAAAUUCUUGCUGUAGUACAAGCCUCAUAAAUGUUAUCUUCAAGCUCACAAAGGGGAUAAGAUCAAGGUUCCUUCUUGCUUGCUUGAUAUUAAUUUGAUUGACCUGAAAGAAAGAGUUAUGGACGAGUUUUCUUGAGGAAUUACCUUCAUCAGUAUUUAAUAAAAUUGUUGAUAUUGGAGCUGUUGGAUCUUUCUGUGUUGGUUUAGUGAUAUUUGGUGGUUCUUUAUUAGAGAAGGUAGUAGGAAGAAGAAAGGUUAUGGUGAUGGAGAUUGGAUUUGUACCAACGUACGAGGAUAAAGAUCGAGAUUGGAUGUUGGUUGGUGAUGUUCCAUGGGACAUGUUCUCUUCUUUGUGUAAAAGACUCAGAAUCAUGAAAGGAUCUGAUGCUCCUACUCUAGACUCUUCCUUAUGAUCUAGAGAAGAUGAGAAGCUUUUGUUUAAAGGAGAUGAUGAUUAUGAUCGAUGAAUGAAAAACCCUUUUUGGUUUGAUUCUGAUCGGAGUUUGACCACAAAAAUGAAACUUCUGCGGUUUUGUCCGAUAAGAGAUUCGUCUCUAGUGAUGUUCUUUUUGUCUUUGUAUUUAGAUUUGAAGCAGUUUGAUGUAAAGAUACAUGAGGUAUUUUUGUAUAAUACAGACAUACAAUCUAUAAAUGGACGUAUUAAGUAGCAAUGUUCUAUAAGAUCAGUUUUUGUUCUUGAUCAUGAACAUAGUAUUUUAAAUUUCUGAAA